GUUAACAUAAAAGUAAGCGACUUCUUAGUAAUGCAUAGGUCAUUAAUACAUAACACUAGGACUCUAGGAGAUAAUAAGGCAAAGAAAGAGUGAGGGAAAGUACUAAGAAAGGACUUAGCGACCCUAAAUCUUUCGGAAUAUGUCAACCUAAACAGGAUGAAAUGGAAAAAUGGGCAUAUAAGCUGAUCAAUUUAGCAAGCAUGGAGUG
rnacentral:misc_RNA from 1 species